rnacentral:rRNA from 1 species
CCUACGGGGGGCUUCAGUAGGGAAUAUUGGUAAUGGGCGCAAGCCUGAACCAGCAACGCCGCGUGUGCGAAGAAGGCCUUCGGGUUGUAAAGCCCUUUUUAAGGGGAUGAGGAAGGACAGUCCCCUUAGAAUAAGCCUCGGCUAACUACGUGCCAGCAGCCGCGGUAACACGUAGGAGGCAAGCGUUAUUCGGAUUUACUGGGCGUAAAGCGCGUGCAGGCGGUUUGGUAAGUUGGAGGUGAAAGCGCCCGGCCGAACUGGGAGAGGGCGUUCAAUACUACCAGACUAGAGGAUGGGAGAGGGAGGGGGAAUUCCGGGUGUAGGGGUGAAAUGCGUAGAUAUCCGGAGGAACACCAGUGGCGAAAGCGGCCUCCUGGCCCAUUUCUGACGCUCAGACGCGAAAGCUAGGGUAGCAAACG